GUAAUAUAAAUAAAGAUAAUUUUCAUAUCUUCAUGGAACAGUUUCUCUGGCAGAGGUCUGGGGUGUUCUUGUGUAUUUUGCAAUUCUGAAGCACACGAGGUCAAACAAUCAAAUUGAAUAGCUUAGACUUUGCAGCGAUAUGAGACAGUUUUACUGUGCAUGGGGGAGAGCUGUGGUUGCAUAAUUAGUCCUCAUCCAGCUAAAACAGCUGAAGGCAUGCUCUGAAGAAGACACAAAUCCUGGUUGACUUUAUCAGAACUAAUUCUGUUCUAUAAAUUGGGGUGGCUUACAGGAGAGAGUUGAGAGGGAGAUCAGCCUUGUCAAGCUCUCUUGUGGAUGGCUGAGGUGUUGGGAACCAUUGUUAUUACCUGUUGUUCCUGACUUUCCUAACAAUGACAGGUGUCUGGCUGCUUUAUGGAACUCUUCUGUAUUGGUCCAACCAUUGCCCAACAAGUUACCAGCAGGAUGGAGCGUGGACGUACUUCACACAGGUCACGUACUGCUCCCCCUGGGUUUCCUACAUCUCUGCAGUGGCCUGUUUCCACACUGUUUGGGCUUCCUUGUGGCUCGUUGUUCAGCUUUAUCAGAUUGCGUUCUUGGGGCUGACCUCUCAUGAAAGAAUGAACCUCCUGAUGCAGAGAAAAUCAUCCAAGCAUCCUGUUUCACUCAGGAGAACUCCAUACAAUCUUGGAUGCUUCCAGAAUCUUGCAGACUUCUUUCAGUGCAGUUGCUUUGGUAUGUUCAAACCCAACAUUAUUGACUGGACCAAGCAAUACAAUGUUUUUCAUCUGGCAAAGGAGAGAAAUGUUCAUUCUGUGUAAAGUUUUGCUGAAUUUCUGAAAUGGUUGAGCUGAAGGCUAAAUAAAAAUGGAUAUUUUGUUAAUUUUU